UACGAAGGGUGCAAGCGUUAUCCGGAUUCAUUGGGUUUAAAGGGUGCGUAGGCGGGGCCGUAAGUCAGUGGUGAAAUCCUGCAGCUUAACUGUAGAAUUGCCAUUGAUACUGCGGUUCUUGAGUACGCUUGAUGUGGGCGGAAUGUGCCGUGUAGCGGUGAAAUGCUUAGAUAUGGCACAGAACACCGAUCGCGAAGGCAGCUCACAAAGGCGAAACUGACGCUGAGGCACGAAAGCGUGGGGAUCGAAC
rnacentral:rRNA from 1 species